GACCAGGAGGAUCAGGUUUAUUGUAUUUUAAAGACCAGAAGGAUCAGGUUUAUUGUAUUUAACAGACUAGACCAGGAGGAACAGGUUUAUUGUAUUUUACAGACCAGACCAGGAGGAACAGGUUUAUUGUAUUUUACAGACUAGACCAGGAGGAACAGGUUUAUUGUAUUUUACAGACCAGGAGGAACAGGUUUAUUGUAUUUAACAGACUAGACCAGGAGGAACAGGUUUAUUGUAUUUAACAGACCAGGAGGAACAGGUUUAUUGUAUUUUACAGACUAGACCAGGAGGAACAGGUUUAUUGUAUUUAACAGACUAGACCAGGAGGAACAGGUUUAUUGUAUUUAACAGACUAGACCAGGAGGAACAGGUUUAUUGUAUUUUACAGACUAGACCAGGAGGAACAGGUUUAUUGUAUUUUACAGACCAGACCAGGAGGAACAGGUUUAUUGUAUUUAACAGACUAGACCAGGAGGAACAGGUUUAUUGUAUUUUACAGACUAGACCAGGAGGAACAGGUUUAUUGUAUUUAACAGACCAGGAGGAACAGGUUUAUUGUAUUUUACAGACCAGGAGGAACAGGUUUAUUGUAUUUUACAGACCAGACCAGGAGGAACAGGUUUAUUGUAUUUUACAGACUAGACCAGGAGGAACAGGUUUAUUGUAUUUUACAGACCAGGAGGAACAGGUUUAUUGUAUUUAACAGACCAGGAGGAACAGGUUUAUUGUAUUUAACAGACUAGACCAGGAGGAACAGGUUUAUUGUAUUUUACAGACCAGAAGGAACAGGUUUAUUGUAUUUAACAAACUAGACCAGGAGGAUCAGGUUUAUUGUAUUUUAAAGACCAGAAGGAUCAGGUUUAUUGUAUUUAACAGACUAGACCAGGAGGAACAGGUUUAUUGUAUUUUACAGACCAGGAGGAACAGGUUUAUUGUAUUUAACAGACUCGACCAGGAGGAACAGGUUUAUUGUAUUUUACAGACCAGACCAGGAGGAACAGGUUUAUUGUAUUUUACAGACUAGACCAGGAGGAACAGGUUUAUUGUAUUUUACAGACCAGGAGGAACAGGUUUAUUGUAUUUAACAGACUAGACCAGGAGGAACAGGUUUAUUGUAUUUAACAGACCAGGAGGAACAGGUUUAUUGUAUUUUACAGACUAGACCAGGAGGAACAGGUUUAUUGUAUUUAACAGACUAGACCAGGAGGAACAGGUUUAUUGUAUUUAACAGACUAGACCAGGAGGAACAGGUUUAUUGUAUUUUACAGACUAGACCAGGAGGAACAGGUUUAUUGUAUUUUACAGACUAGACCAGGAGGAACAGGUUUAUUGUAUUUUACAGACUAGACCAGGAGGAACAGGUUUAUUGUAUUUUACAGACUAGACCAGGAGGAACAGGUUUAUUGUAUUUUACAGACUAGACCAGGAGGAACAGGUUUAUUGUAUUUUACAGACCAGGAGGAACAGGUUUAUUGUAUUUAACAGACUAGACCAGGAGGAACAGGUUUAUUGUAUUUUAAAGACCAGAAGGAUCAGGUUUAUUGUAUUUAACAGACUAGACCAGGAGGAACAGGUUUAUUGUAUUUUACAGACCAGACCAGGAGGAACAGGUUUAUUGUAUUUUACAGACUAGACCAGGAGGAACAGGUUUAUUGUAUUUUACAGACCAGGAGGAACAGGUUUAUUGUAUUUAACAGACCAGGAGGAACAGGUUUAUUGUAUUUAACAGACUAGACCAGGAGGAACAGGUUUAUUGUAUUUUACAGACUAGACCAGGAGGAACAGGUUUAUUGUAUUUUACAGACCAGACCAGGAGGAACAGGUUUAUUGUAUUUUACAGACUAGACCAGGAGGAACAGGUUUAUUGUAUUUUACAGACCAGGAGGAACAGGUUUAUUGUAUUUAACAGACC